rnacentral:rRNA from 1 species
UCCUAGAGGGAAGUCGUGUUCGGGGGUGCCUAUCAUGCAGUCGAGCGAAAGAUACGGAGCUUGCUCCUUUGACGUUAGCGGCGGACGGGUGAGUAACACGUGGGUAACCUACCUAUAAGACUGCGGAUAACUUCGGGAAACCGGAGCUAAUACCGCGAUAACAUUUGGAACCGCAUGGUUGAAUCUAAAGUGAAUAGAUGGUUUUGACUAUCACUUAUAGAUGGAGCCCGCGCCGUAAUUCGAAGCUAGUUGGUAAGGUAACGGCUUACCAAGGCUUGACGAUACGUAGCCGACUCUAGAGAGGGUGAUCGGCCACACUGGGGACAAACUGACACACGGUCCAUGGUACUAGCCUACGGGAGGCCUGAGCAGUAGGGUAAUCUUCCGCAAUGGGCGAAAGCCUGACGGAGCAACGCCGCGUGAGUGAUGAAGGGUUUCGGCUCGUAAAACUCUAGGUUGAUUAGGGAAGAACAAAUGUGUAAGUAACUGUGCACGUCUUGACGGUACCUAAUCAGAAAGCCACGGCUAACUACGUGCCAGCAGCCGCGGUAAUACGUAGGUGGCAAGCGUUAUCCGGAAUUAUUGGGCAGGUAAAGCGCGCGUAGGCGGUUUCUUCAAGUCUGAUGUGAAAGCCCACGGCUCAACCGUGGAGGGUCAUUGGAAACUGGGAAACUUGAAGCUGCAGAAGGUAGUAAUAGUGGAAUUCCAUGUGUAUCGGUGAAUAUGCGCAGAGAUAUGGAGGAACACCAGUGGUGAAGGCGACUUUCUGGUCUGUAACUGACGCUGAUGUGCGAAAAGCGCGUGUCGGAUCAAACAGGAUUAGAUACCCUGGGGGGUCUCCCCCC